rnacentral:misc_RNA from 1 species
GUGUUGGAUAAGAUUAACAAUGAACGAACUAUCAUAACCAUAAAAAUAAAAUAAACAUGAAUUUUAGGUGAUGAACGACGACGGAUUGACUUCUAGUUGUGAAAUUGACAUUUACUUGCCUUCAUCCUUAAGCUCCACUAAUAUAUAUAAUCACUUCAUCUUUCAACACUUCGCCACAAACAGCAGCAAAAGAAGAAAGGAGAGAAGAUGCACAAUCCUCCGCCACAUCACGACCCACAUCACCCAGGUCCACCACACCACGGACCACCUCCUCCGCAUGCACCACCUCCUGGGCCUCCACCUCCUCAGCAUCACCAUGAUCAUCAUCCUCCUCCGCCAGGCCCCCAUCAUCCUCCGCCAGCUGAUCCCCAUCCACAUCCACCGGGUCCUCAUGGUCCACACCAUGAUCCACCCCAUCACCACCGCUGAUUAGUCUAAUGGGCAGUUGGCCACUUAUUAUAAAUAUGGUGUGUAACGUGUGUAGCGCUAUGUGGUUUAUGCUAUUGCUAGUUGUUCUGCGCUGCUAGCUACUUGUUAUAAUUAAGAAAAUAAUUAGAGCACCAUUUCUAUGAGGUUGCUCUUGUUAUUUCUCUCUUUUGUGUUUCUUUCCUUUUUUUUUUCUCACUUAAUAAUAA